UACGGGGGAGCAAGCGUUGUUCGGAUUACUGGGCGUAAAGGGCGCGUAGGCGGUCGUGACAAGUCACUUGUGAAAUCUCCGGGCUUAACUCGGAACGGUCAAGUGAUACUGUCGGACUAGAGUACAGAAGGGGCAACUGGAAUUCUCGGUGUAGCGGUGAAAUGCGUAGAUAUCGAGAGGAACACCUGCGGCGAAGGCGGGUUGCUGGGCUGAUACUGACGCUGAGGCGCGAAAGCGUGGGGAGCGAACAGG
rnacentral:rRNA from 1 species